rnacentral:rRNA from 1 species
UACAGAGGGUGCGAGCGUUGUCCGGAAGUACUGGGCGUAAAGCGCGCGUAGGCGGACCUGCAAGUCGGGGGGGAAAGCCCGAGGCUCAACCUCGGAACUGCCUUCGAUACUGCGGGUCUCGAGUCCGGGAGAGGUGAGUGGAAUUCCUAGUGUAGAGGUGAAAUUCGUAGAUAUUAGGAAGAACACCAGUGGCGAAGGCGGCUCACUGGCCCGGUACUGACGCUGAGGCGCGAAAGCGUGGGGAGCAAACAGG